AACCCAAGCUCCCUUAGCCUCUCCUUUCAGUUGCUUUGGCUCCAGUCCUCUGUAAGAUCCUUUCCAGGUUCCUUAUUGAUCUUGAGAAAGAGGAAGCCCCAAAAACUUGCAACAGGAGGAUGUUGGUGCAGGGAGGAGAAAACAGACUGUAGUAGAGCAAAUUAAUGGUGGUUCAGUUAUCUAGGCUUAGGGGAACAAGAAAGAAGACAUCCACAGUUUCCCUACCUUGAAAACGCUACAAUGUAUAUCCCGUUGUGCUAAUCUAAGCUGAUUUUGCUGUUCACCACAUAGCACUGCAAUUUAAGGUGGUUUUACUGCUGACUGCAGAGUGUUGCACAGGAAAGAGCGAAGGAGCGCAUGUGCGGAAUCGAAGGGUAACAAGAGGGCAAACUGAGGAAGACUACUGACUUCAUCCAACGACCACCAGAUGGGGGUCAAAAAGACCCUCAGAGAUAAAGUGGGCAUGUGCCUUUGAAGGCCUGCCUCUUCCAAGAACUUAUAAACAUAAUCCAGCCUAUUCCUAGAACAGUCAUGAAUGUGUAUUAAAAUAGUUAUGAAUAUGUA